UACGUAGGUGGCAAGCGUUGUCCGGAUUUACUGGGCGUAAAGAGCGCGCAGGCGGUCGAAUAAGUCGAAUGUGAAAGCCCCCGGCUUAACUGGGGAGGGUCAUUCGAUACUGUUCGACUUGAAGGCAGGAGAGGGCAGCAGAAUUCCCGGUGUAGUGGUGAAAUGCGUAGAUAUCUGGAGGAAUACCGGUGGCGAAGGCGGCAUCCUGGACCGACAUUGACGCUGAACGGCGAAAGCUAGGGGAGCAAACGGG
rnacentral:rRNA from 1 species